rnacentral:rRNA from 1 species
UAGCUGAUCGCACGGUCUAAGAACCGGCGACAUAUCCUUCAAAUGUCUGCCUUAUCAACUUUCGAUGGUAGAUUAUGCGCCUACCAUGGUUGUAACGGGUAACGGAGAAUCAGGGUUUGAUUCCGGAGAGGGAGCCUGAGAAACGGCUACCACAUCCAAGGAAGGCAGCAGGCACGCAAAUUACCCACUCCCGGCACGGGGAGGUAGUGACGAAAAAUAACAAGCUGGUCUCUAUGAGUUCCGGCAUUGUAAUGGGAACAAUUUAAAUCAUUUAUCGAGGAUCUAUUGGAGGGCAAGUCUGGUGCCAGCAGCCGCGGUAAUUCCAGCUCCAAUAGCGUAUAUUAAAGUUGUUGCGGUUAAAAAGCUCGUAGUUGGAUCUAGGAUUAGGGCUACGGU